UCUUCUAAAAAAGUUUUUAGAGAAAAUAGUUCCAUUAUUAUUUGAAAGUAUUUUUAAUAAAAAUGUUUUUAUUUGAAAGUGUUUUUAGGAAAAUUAUAUAUUAAGAGUGCAUUUGACAGUGAUUUUAAGAAGUGUUUCUAAUAUUUUUUAUAUUUGAAAAUUUUUAUUGAUGUCAAAAACAUUUUUUAGAAUCACUGUCAAACGCAUUCUAAGUGUUUUUUCUCAGAAAAAACACUACUAAUUAUUUUAUUUAUUUAUUAAUAAUAUAAAUGAAUUUUCAGAUUUUUAAAGGUGUUUCUUAAAUUUUUGCAAAUAAUUUAUUUUUCAAAAACACUUUUCAUGCUAUAAGUACCCACACCAACUCUUAGUACUUAUUUGUCAAUUAUUUUAGAAACAUUUUUAAUGCUUCUAUCACUCAAAAAUUUUUAUCAUUCAAGUAUUAAAAAUAUUAAACAUGUUUUCUAAAAUGAUCAAAAGUACUCUUAGUUUAAAAAGUAUUUUAGAAAAAAAAAAUAAUUAUUUUACAAAUUUUAAAAAAUACUUUUAAAAAUUUUUAAAAUUACUUAUAAGAGGAACACUUGAUAGGUAAUUCUUUAAAAAAUAUUUUAAAAAAAAUAUUUUCACUAAAAGUACUUACAUUGUGAAAACAUAAUUUAAAUAAAAAUAUGAAGAAUAAAAUUAAGAUAUAAAAAAUAAAAUUAAAUACAAAUAAAUAGAAUUAGAUAUAAAAUAAUGAGAUAUAAAUAUAUACAUGGAUAGGUAGAUGUCUCUUUAUGAUCAAAUGAUUUGAGCCACAAGUCACUACACAGGAUGACGUUAGGAAUGGUAGGUUUGGUUGGUUUGGAAUCCAGAUCAUCAAGGCCCACUUUGGCUAUAAAAAAAAAUUAUAAUACAAAUCAAAUCAAAUCAAAUCAUUUGAGUUAAAAGCAGAAGAAAAAGAAAGGUAAAGGAUGGAAAAAUAGAUAUAAAAAAUUGCCCACUUUAGAAAAUCUUGCACACACCAAACAUAACCUUCAAAAAUCCAAACAUUCACUUAUUAAUAAUUGAUUUUUAUAAAAAAAAAAAAAAUAAUCAAAAUUAAUCUCGAAACAAAUUCUUACUUUCCAAGAUGUAACGUGGGGCCACUUGACACGAUGUGGAGUGCCAAAGCCCUCAAAAGUAAAAGAAGGCAUUAAAUUCUUAUUUUAAAAGCAUUCAAAUGAGACGUUUAAAAUAAUAGAAGAAUGCAAUAAUGGUGCGUUGGUUGUUUAGUCACCUCACUUAUACAGACUUCCAUAUAUACACGCUGACAUAAAACCAUUAAAAAACAUACUCAUGUUGGGAUUUUUUUUAAUAAAAAUAUUAUUUUCUAAAAAAUAAUUAUUUAAAAAUAUAUAUAUAUGAUUUUCAUACUAAACCCGACUUUCAAAAGAUGAUUUCACUUUCUUUGACGAUUCCAAUUUUUUUUUUUAAUUUAAUUCAUCUUUUAAAAAGUCGGGUUGAUUUUGAUAUUGAAUUUAUCUUUUGAGAAUACGAGUUUUACUUAUGUCGUAAAUUUAAAAUUAUUUUUUAUAUUAUAAUUUUUUUAAAAUACAUUGGUCUUGGAUAAGACCGAUGAUGUUGCCCUUCAUUCGUUUCAAAUUUUGUCAAUUUUUCUCAAAUUCGAAGUCUGAAUUAAUAUUUGAGGCCACAUUCAACCAUCUUUCCAUAUUUCAAAACCGUAUGAACUAGAAAAAACCACCACAACUAGGGAAAAAUUAUGUGGAUGGUGGCUAUGGAAGGCUGAAGAUUCAAUACAAGGAGGCUGCGAAGAUUCCAGAGAAGUCAAUUCUUCCAAAUAGACGAUAUGUUCAGAGAAAAAAAAAUGACAAAACCUCUCCAUUCAACCCGGUGUAGCGUGUGGGAAACAAACACCAACCAGCAGCCCCACUUCACAUUCACGUAUUUGUAUAUAAAUAUUGGUUCUCUGUGCCUUGUCUCCCCCUCCAUCUACUAAACAAACUUACCAUUCACACCCAUAUUUGCUAGCCACCUUCCUCCGCGAUGUCGUCUGUGGAUACUGAGAAGCCGGCUCCUCCUCCGUUGGAGACCGAGGCUCCGCCUCCGCCUCCCCCUCCCCCUCCCCCUCCCCCUCCGCCUCCCCCUCCUCCGGCGGGCUACUCAGCUUUGGAUGUGGUUCUGAGGAUAUUGUUGCUUGGGUCGGCGGUGGCGUCGGUCGUGGUAAUGGUGACCAGCGUGCAGACUAAGCUCAUUGCUGUGGCGGGUGUCCCUGUUCUUGUGUCUAAUAAAGCCAAAUUUCAAAACUCUCCGGCUUUCAUGUGAGUUACAUCCACUCACAAAAAUGAUUCAAAACUCAAGGAGUGCAAAUUUUGGGCUUAUUUGAAAAGUGCUUUUGAAAACAGUUCUGAAAAUCAUGUUUUGUAGAACAAAAUUUUGUUUAAAUUUUUAUUUUGUUCUGAAAGUGUAUCAGAAGUAGUUUUAAAUAUAUUUUAAACAUAUUUUAUUUUUAAUCAUUUUGUAUAAUUAUUUUUUGAAAAAAAAAACUGUUUUUAAAAACAGUUUCAAUAAGCCCAAAAUAGCCACUUUUUGAGUCUCUCACGCAGGACUGUUUUCCUUUUAUGUUAGGUGUUAGUAUUAGAUAUUUUGUCCAUAAAAAAAAAUAAAAAAAAAUAAAAUUCAAGGUUUCAACAAGAUUUCUAACGUUAAUUUUAAUUCCUAUUUCAUGUAAACCAAGUUAGCUUUCUCUGUAACUACGAAAGCACAUAGAAAAGUUGCUAAGUUGCUUUCUACAUCUUAAUUAUAGGGAUGCUGUUUAAUUUAAUAGAAGUAGAGGUAAAUAUUACUGUGACGUGAUUGAAUAUUUUUUUAGUAUGAAGUGUAUUUUAAAAAAAUUGAAUUUAAAAUAAAAAUAAAAAUAAUGUUAGACUUGAUUUGAUAAUUAUUUUCAAGAACAAUUUUUGAGAAUGAUUUUUAAAAUUUAUUCUCUAAAAUAGUUUAAAAAAAUAAUUUUUAAGAAUCGUUAUUUAAUGUUUUAUAAAUCAAAUACGUAUUUGAGAAUCCUAAAUAUUUUUAACUUGUUUUCUCUGCAUUUAAAUAUGUUUUAAAAAUUAUUUUUUAUAUAUAGUAUUUUAUUUUUAAUUAUUUUUUAUAUUUAUUUAACUAUUUUUUAGAACAAUUUUUGAAAAAUAAGUAAAAGAUAUUUUUUGAAAACACCACAUUUUCUAUUUUUAAGAAAAUAAAUUGUUUUAUAUUUUCUAAUUACUCAAAAUGUUUUCUUUUUUUUUUUUUUGUUUUGAAAAGUAAAAAAUUGUUUUAAAAAACAAUUUCAAACAUAGCUUAGCUUUUUGAGUGGUUCAUAUUAAUUUUUAUUUUAUCCAAACUUUAGAUAUAUUUAAAAAAAAUCAAGUUACUUGCAAUACUUUUGACAAUGUUUUAUUCGAAAUGUUUUCUUUGCAAGUGUUUUUCAGAGAUGAUCGAUUAUCCUAAAAACACUACAAAUGAUUUUUCAAUACCACAUCUAAUUUUUCAGAUUUUUAAAAAUGUUUUCUAAAGUUUAUGAUUUUUUUUUCAAAAUACUUUUUGAACUAAAAAUGUUUUCUAGAAUCGUUGUCAAAAUGUACUCUUAAAUAUAGUACAGCUUUCAUCGUCUGAUUUUUAGUUGUCACUAUGCAGAUACUUUGUAGCAGCACUCUCAGUUGUUGGCCUCUACAGCAUCAUCACUACGCUGGCAUCCUUUAUAUUCAUAUCAAAGCCAAGUUGCUCAACAAAGACCAUUCUCCAUCUAGCAAUCUGGGAUGUGGUAAGGCCUUUACCUCUGAAAAUUGUCUUUCCUUUCAACCCACUUCUCUAACUACACAGAUAACAGUCUAGCACAGAGCAUGCUUGUCUAGUUUUCUGCCAUCUUAUUGAUGUUGUUGAAAAUAUACUCACAAUGCCUGUGGGUGCAGCUGAUGCUGGGGUUGGCAGCUUCGGCCACAGGCACAGCCGGGGGCGUUGCAUACGUCGGAUUGAAAGGCAACUCUCAUGUGGGCUGGAACAAGGUGUGCAACACUUAUGAUAAGUUCUGUCGCCAUGUGGGAGGCUCGAUUGCUGUUGCAUUGUUCGCAUCUAUUCUGCUCGUCUUGCUUGUUUGGCUCUCUCUUUUCACCCUCUACUCUCGUAUCAGAAAAUAGUGUUUCGAGGGCAUGCAGAUAUCUGAAACAUGGCAAUUGAAUGUGUGUGAUGUGUUGAAGCCUUAGCUUUGGUUCUGUGGUUUUAAGUGUUAAGAGGAUUCAUGUGUAGUCGUGUGAACUGAAUUGAUUUUUUUCUUGUAUCCAUAAUGUACAUCCAUUUCCAAUUAUGAAACAUGUAUUUCGAUCUUUGUGGAUUUCGUGUAGGAAAUGUUAUAAAUGUUGCUUUCGCCUAUAAUUUUCGGUCUUCGCAUCAAGGCAAGAGUCAUCGAAGUUAAGCAAUCACUUCUUUAUCACUAAUCAUGCAUAUGUUCGAUUCAAAGGAACCGUCUUUCCUUAGUCAAAGGAAUCCAUUAAUGUUUUUUUGGUACUGUUGUGCUAACGAUCGCUUCAAUAUAAACAUAUUAGUUUAAGAAGACAAAGAUAAAAUAAUCUACACAAAAGUACAUGAGAUUUUAACAUAGUUUGGUUAACUAUACCUACAUCCACGAAUGAGAGAGAAACAUUUCACUGUAUCAUACAAAUAAAACUAUUGGGUUCCUAAAACAUUCCAUAUUUCUCCACUCCUCGUAUUUACACCUUGAACCACAAGUCUCUCAAUUUAUCGAGUGUCUCUCAUUUUUAUCCACCUCAAUAUAAUCUUCACAAUCUCAUCUUCAUUUCAUAACUUUUUCGCUUUUUUUCCCUUCGUGACUUAAAAUAUUUUUGGAGAUACUUCUAAUAAUUUUUCUUAUUCUAUAAGAAAAUUUAAUAUUACAAUGACGUAUCAAUAUAGAAAAUAUUUUUUAUAAAAAUGAAUCUACACUAAUUAGAAAUUUGAGACACCUUCCAACAACUACCAAUACUAUUUUGGGUACAGGCAGGCAAUGAGAACAACUCCAUCACUAAAUUGAACCCACCAACAUGCCAUGUCUAAGGACACGAAUAAGACAGGAAAGGGCGGCAGCUAGACUGAGUGGCCUACCAUGUGAAAUGUGACAGACAGAAACCGAGUCUCGCCCAUCCAAAUAAUAGCCAGGCAAGAGCCAUCAAGGACGGUUAAAACUACCAAAUGGGGAUCAAGCCCUGCCCAGCUCAUUCCCUAAUAACCCUUGUUUUUGGUUAGACAAGAUAAUUCAAUAAGGAUACAGGCAGGUGCUCAACUUCCAUAAUCACUAACUAAAGUGGAAGGAAAUAGUAGUAUUAUGAACUGCAGAACCAAAAGAACCGUAUACUGUCUUGUACAAGUUGACUUCCAUCACUUAAACAAGUCAUAUGGAAGCCAAAACAGCAGGCUUUGACAGUGUCUGCACAUCAGUGUCUAUGAAGAUACCAGAAUGCAAUGCUACUAUAAUGGCCUUAUUGAAUAAGACUAGAAUUUAAAUUAACCAAGAAAUAGGAGGAGAUCGCAUAUAUUUUGGUGCUUUGAGCCUAAGGAAUAAGAUGUUUUUACUUACAAUUUUCUAACCAUAACAAAAUUUCAGUUGGGUAAAGCAAAUUUAUUAUGACCAUAUCCUGCACUGUAAAAUUCACUCUGAUGUGAAGCAUGAAACCUAAGCCUUCUUUGGAUUUUUUUUCCCCAUAACUAAACACUUAAGUUGAAGCCAAACCCAUAAUUUUCAAACGGCAAUAAUGAUAUCAUACAAAUUUCAUUAAACAUGAGAUAACUUCCUGUACAAGAACUUCUAUUUUUAAAAAGCAACAUGUAUAUUUAGUUCUUUUUAAGCUAUAAACUCUUUCAACAAAAUCACCCAAAUAGGUAUAGAAGCUCCUAUUGAGCUUAAAAAAGAACUUUUAGUUUCUCAGUAGUCAAUCCAAAUAGGUCUUAAUCUCUCUUUAGAUUAAUUUCUAAUCAUGUAUAUGUUUUCUACAGUCCAAAUUUUUUUGCACCACUUACAGAUUUGAAUCUGAAUAAAAGGCCUGAGGAAUUCAAACAACUACUGGAAAAAACAGCUCAAUUUGCAAGAGUCCUAAGACUCCAAUCUAGCCAGUCCAUAAACUGGUUUUCUAAGAGUACAAAAUCCCAUAAUGAAAAUUAACCCACAAUUAUCCAAACUCUAACAAUUCAGACUAGUAUACCAACCAUAAUGGGGUUAAACUUAAAACAUUGAGAAAAUGUUGUUUCCUGACUAACCAAUAGAAUUUUAACUUGAAAGAGAUUCAUCAAGAAUGUAUGCAAAUUACCACUGACACAAGAACCUACCUCACUCCCAAUCCAGGCCUGAAAGUGGCAAUGCCAGACCUGGAGCUCAGCCGUAGUGAGCUGUUGUUCUGAACUAUGUAUUCGGUAUUCCCACAAACCAACUAUAUCAACAGCUCUGUCAAAAUGGUCUUUCCUUAAGAGUUCUGUUUCCGUUAUACAAUUAUGAUACUAAACAACUUGACAGAAAGAGAGUGGGGCAUCCUUUGAUAGAAUAUGACACUUACAUAAGAAUUACAUUAUCUGCAAUUUAAAUAGUAGUUGAACUUACUGAAUUUUUAUCGCAAUGUUGUCAACAUCCAUGGAAUCUAAUCUUGAGUUCACUUACAUAGAGGAUAUUACAUUGCCAUGCUGAGGCUGAGUAAUUACAACAACUGCAAGGACUCAACUGAGUAUCAAGACAUCAAAAUCUAACCAGUGAGAAUGAUUUAGGCUCACUUCAACACAUUGGAGAGAGCUUCUACAAUUAGGGCAAUGUGAAAAGCAUCAAACUAGUGGUCAAAAAGCAUUUUACAAUGCAAAUUUAUUAGUUUGGAUGACUGAAAACUUUACAAAACCAUCUAGUUUAUAACUCAUACAAGAUACCGAUCAAUUAAAAGAUAAAAACCUGCAUACCUUAGACAAUUUAGGAAAAUGAUUGAACAUUUGAGCAUUUGAAUUUACAAACGUCAACUGGAACAGGGCAUUUAAAAAAUUGUCUGUUCUCCUAAUUCCUGACCAGCCAUCCCUUCUCUGAGCACCCUUUCAAAGAAUUCCUCUAACGUGUCUUUUCCAUAGCUUGGAGUUUUCUCAGCACUAUACUCUCCAGUUUCUGGAUCCAAAACUAACAUGCUCUCAGCUGCAUAAUACCUACCAAUUUUCCCAAACUCAGCAGCAUCUUCCAUUGAAGGAAAAAUCUUGACGAGAAAAUCAAGAAAGCCGAUAGCAAAAUCCAUUAUACCAAUUGGCACUUUCAAGAAGUUGGGUUUCCUCCCUGCAAGUCUAAAUAACAUCUCCCCUUGUUCCAACGGAGUCAAGGCCUUCCCCGGCCCGCCAAUAGGCAAAACUUGGUUAAUCUUAUCUUUCUCCAGUACACAAUCUGCAAUGAAUGAAGCCAAAUCCUGCUCACUAAUAGGCUUACAAGCACACAAUUUUCCAUCCCCAAACAUAACAUAUGGCUUCCCAUCUUUCACCAACUCAACCUGUCCUCCCAAACUCUUGAAGAAAGCUGUUGGCCUCACAAUACUAUACGUGAAACCAUCAUCCUCUUCUGCCUCUUUCAUCAAUUCAGCCUCGAAUUUCAGCUUGGCCCGCUGAAAUUCAAGAAGCGGUUUCUGCACACAAACGGCAGAAAGCAAUACAAAAUGAGAAGCCCCACGUUUCCUCCCAGCAACAAGACUAUUCUUCGUGGCCUCAUAAUCAAUUUUCCAUGAAUCCUUAACCCCACCAGUGCGGCUAGCGAGGCAAGAGACAACAACAUCAAUAGGCAACCCCAAAUUCUCCAGAGACUUCUCCAGAACAUCUAAAGAAGUCACAUCUGAAAACCACACAUUAGCUCCAUUUAACUCAGUUAAGGUAUCCUCUUUUCUAUUCCUUCCUCUAAUCCCACUCCUUUCUCUAGCAAUUGCUAUGACAUUGAACCCUCUACUAACCAACUCUUUCACCACAAAUUUUCCUAUGUACCCAGUUGAACCCACCACCACCACAUUGAUUUCGCUUGCGUUUUUGCCUCUGAAUGAAGAUGGGGGUUCAACAGUUGGGGUGAUUGAAGCUGUAAUGGGUAGAAACCUCUCUCUACUAAAUUUAGGCGAUUGUGAUAAACUCAAAGGCAAACGUGUUAUAGCAUAUGGUGCUGGGGUUACCUGAUUCUGGUUGAUGAAUUGAGAAGCAGAACAGUUUCUGAAGCUUCUGGUCUUCGGAGAGUGGAGAGUGAGUACAUUGGAGGAGAGAUAAAGAGACAUUUUUGGAGGUGAAAGAGAGUUGAUUUUGGAGAAAUGGUUGUGGCUUUGGCGAAGUGUGGUGCAGAGAGAGGAAAAUCGAAAAUGUGAGGCAGAUGAUGAAGGCGAGUGGCCUUCCAUGUCGUGACCGAGCUGCUCUACGCCUGUGUGGAAUCCAAAUGAUAGGCGGUGGAUAUGCUAGGAGGAGAUAUGUUUUAACUUUUUGGAUUUUCACGCUUUUAUACAAAUAAAUAUAUAAAUGAUUUUUAUUUUUAUUUUUUAUUUUAAGAUUAAAUGAUUUUAAAAUAUAUAAAUUUUAAUUAUAAGAAAAAAAAUUAUUAGUAAUUUUUUUCCCCUUUUCAAUAUUUCUUAAGAGCUUACAUAGAUUAAUAGUGAUUUUAAAAAACAUUUUUAGUUUAAAAAAUAAUUUUAAAAUUUAAAAAAUAUUUUUAAAAAUUUUAAAAUUACUUACAGUUUUAAAAAAUCACUUUUAAUAUUUUUUGAAAAAACACUUCUUAAUAUAAUAGUUUCACUAAAAACAUUUCAAGUAUAAACACUUUUAAACGCACUCUUAUGUUUGAUAUUAGUUAUAACGAGAAAAUAAAAGAAAACAUGUUAUUAUUAUUAUAUAUAUAUAUAAAUUAAUUUAGAAAGAUGGAAAAUGAAAAUAUUUUUUGUAAAAUAAAAAAUGAAAAUAAAAUAGCAAGAACUCGUUAUUAAAUAAUAUAAUAAUAUAUUUAAUUGAUAUUUAUUUUUACAUUAAAAUAAAAGAAAUCUUCUAAUUCUUUUAAUAUGUCGAUUUUGUUCUUAUAUAUGGAGGCCACAAUUUAGUAUCAAUGUUUAUCAAACUCUUAUACAUUCUUUGUUUAUCAAGCAUUUAAUCACUCCAUGUCACAACUAAUUUUUCUUUCAUCAUGACUAAGAGUGAUUUUCUCAAAUUUAAAGGAAUAUUGAAUUGCACUUUAGAGAUUGCUAGAAGGGCUUUCCUUUCAAUGACCCACACGAAGUUGGAAAGAAAAUAAGUGUUGAAAUGGGCAUAAAAGCUCUUAAAAACGCCUAUAUCGUCUUAAUGACUUGUUGAGGUUGGGGAUGAAAUGCUUAAUAAGCUAAUAAAUCAUUUCUUUAGGGCUAAUCCACAUUUCCAACAAUGAAUUAGGUUCUCCUUUGGGACAAAUUGAACAUCGAUAUUGAGUCAUAAAUGCUUCACACAAGGUUCUGAAAGAAUUGAUGAAUCCUUCCAACAAUCCAUGAAACCAUGAAAGGGUGAGAGCAUGCAAGUUGGUUGGAAAAAUCUUAUACAAUAAUAGUUCGUUAGAGGCUUCUAGCAUCAUGACCUAUUUAAAAUACAAUAUAUGGUCAUAAGGAUCAAUGGUCUUGUCAAACAUGUUAAAUUUGGGCAUAAAAAGACCUUUUAGCACCUCUCAUGCCAUGAUAUCAUGAGAAAAUGACAUCCAUAUGAGGCUAUCUAGAAUCAAAUAAGUUAAUGGUGGGAUGAUCUAACCAAACAACCAAAUACCCUAGCUAUUGAUGGUGCUAGUAGAGAAAUGUGUGCCUAUUAGCUUAUAGUAUGCUAACUAUAUUUCUCUGAUAUCUCCAAUGUGGCUCGAUGAUUUCUAAUAAGAAACAAUAAAGAUUAUUUUUACUAUGGGCUCAAUAUUAAUAUCUUGCACUGAUGGUAGUGGUUGUUCUUGAAUGUGAAAAGGGUAACCGGUCUCCAUUUAUUAAUGUUUUAGUAGUAACCAGGAUAUCUCAUUUUCGACUCACAUCUAUUCUAUGGCUUGUUAUAACACUUUGUAUUAGAGGUGAUGCUUUACUUGCUACACCUCUAAUUGAGCCAAAGUCACUCUAAUAUACUCCUCUAAGGUAAGAGCCCCUUCACCAUCGCAUGCUACAUUUUCUCUAAGUCAUUUUCAUUGGAAAAUGGCUUCUCAACCAAUUGAUUCCAUAGAUGGCACAAUUAUUGGAACAAAACUUUCCAAUAAACGUUCUUCUUUAAACCUCUUUUAUAUAACUCUCCUUAUUAUUGCAUAAGUCCAAUAGCUAACUAGCUUUACACUCCCCUAGUGCCUUCCUACAAACAUAGGUGGAGGUGAAGAAAUUUUAACAAACCCCACCUUGAGAGUUCUAAAGUAUCCUUUUUUGUGGAGGCCAGUAAAAUCACCCGACUUGAUGGCUUGACUAAAAAGAAACACAAAAUUUGUCUGUCAUUAAAAAAACUACUACAAGCAUGAGAAUAGUAAAAAAUGAUGGUUCCAAGGCUCGUAGAGCUAUCAACCCUAUAAAAAGGAAAAAAAAACUUUUAAAAAAAUGUAAGAAAUUUCAUAAGAAACCCAUAAAGAAAACUUUAUAUAUAGCUUCUUCCAACCAAAGAGAAAGAGAUCCUCCUCCAUUAAAGUUCUCUUCACAACAUAUUUUUUUAAUAAAGAGGCACAUUCAAAAUUGUUGAAACCUAAUCAAUUGGGAGCAGUGUUUCUCCCUUCUUCCCUGCAAAAGAUGUCCAGACACACCCUCCGAAGCUCAAGUCAGAUGAUUAAUGUCAACUCGAGAUAUUGCCCCUUUUUUGGAGUUAAAGAAGGAGUCUGUAUUGCACGUGUACCUUGAUUUUGGGCUGAAUGAGGGCUCUUAUAGUGUUUGGAACGGUGUCACAUUUGUGCUAAUUUGAAUUUUUGACUUUCGCAAUCAUGAUGACAGCACAGUUGAUGACGGAGCAAUUAUCACUUUUUAGGCGGCUAACAGGGAUUGCUAGUGGAGGUGACUUGAUGGUUCACUUGUCACCUUAGUCUACAGGCGGUAUGGUGCAGCAUGUAGUAGGUCACAUGCGGAGACAGAGUGACGUCCCAUCGAACGUACUGUUGGCAUGAGAAGAAUGAUUGCUCGUAGGAGUGGGGUAGAAAACCUAUUCAGAAUGCACUGUGCAAUCUUAAAAUAACACAAUGUAACUGAUUACUGAUACUCAUAGGCCGGAUUGGACAUUCCGAUCUGGUUAUGCUCGUCCAAACAGAGAUAGACGGAUGUCAUGUGGAGCAAAGGUGGCCUGUCACGUGGUCACACGGGGAAGCCCCUACAAAAAUGACCAUUUUCUUUGCUUUGUCAUAUCCUAGUUUUUCAACUAGUUCAAGAAUUUUAGCAUCUUCAACAAGGAUGUGCCAGAUUUGGUUGCUCUAAUAGAUCAUCCUUUGACGGUUAAGCCAAUAACCACAAUUAUAAAUAGAAAAGAGGAGAAGGAAAAGAAGGGUAAGAAUGCCAACACUGGAUUGUGUUUACCCAAAGCUACUCACACACACACAUAUAUAUAUAUAUAUAUAUAUAUUUGGAGUCAAUCAACAUAUUUUCAUUGUUAGCAUAGUCUCCCCUCCGAUCUUAUGCAAAAGCAAUACAUUGGUUUCAAACGUGUUGAUAUGAAAUAUUAUGCUAGUAAAAUAUCGAUUCAUGCUUUUAAAGGGUGAAUAAAAAACAAAUAUUAAAAGGCCUUGGCUGUACGAUUAAAAGGCUUGGAAGGAUGACUCAACCAAAUUACAACAAAUUAGCUACAAGUUUUAUUCCCAAGUAAUUGCCACGUAAUCAUUACCACUGCGCCACCUUUUUCCACAUAUUUAUAAUUUUUUUUCAUUUUUAAAUUAAUUAAUAUUAUAUAAAAUUAAUAUAUAUUUUACUAAAUGUUUUACUAAUUAACCUAUAUUUAAUUAAAAAACUAUUAAUAACAUCCAUUUAAUUAGAAAUCUAGAAUCUUAUAAUAUUUAUUAAUUAAUCAAUCAAAUAAUUGUAAGAUAUUUUCAAGCAAGACAACAAUCAAAUUAUGAAUGAGAGUUUAUAAUUCAAUGUGCUUGGGUCGCUUGACCUCCAAAACAAGCCCAAUUAAAAUUUAAAUCAGGUUGACAUUUUUAUCCCAAUCUCAUUUCAGUCAAAAUUUAGUGAGUGUUUGAUAAACCAAUUUAAUAACUUAAAGUGAUUUAAUAACUUAAUUUAAGUCAUUACAUAAAUUAAGCAUCUUUGAUAAAAUAACUUGAUGAUAUGACUUAAAAUAAAAAAUAACUUUAAGUAAUAAAUAAAAACAAUUAAUUUAUUUUUAAAUCCACAUCUUUAUUUUUCAUUUUUAUCAUUAUUUGCCUUAAUUACUUCUAUAAUAUCUUUUGCUAUUUUACAACUUCCAUUGUUACUUGACCUUUUGUACUCAAAUUAUAAUUUAUAAAGAUAAAUAUGUCAAUUUGAUUAUUUAAAAUAAAUUUUAAGUUAAUUUUAUAAGACAAAAUAAGAAUUAAGUAACAAGUUUUAAGUUAAUAAUUUAAGUAUAAUUUAACUUAAAAUCAAUUUAAAUUAUUAAAUAAUAAGUAUUAAGUUUUAUUUAACAUCCCGUUAAAAUGAACAUUGUGAAGUUGUUAGGUUAUAGUCAACUAGUUUAUAUAUUUUUCUUUAAUUAUUUUCUAAGAAAGUGUUGACGAGUCGCUUAAUCAUCAUUGCAUGAUCAAUUGUAUAAUUAUGACCAUUCACUUUCUUUAAAUUUUAUCCUUUAGUGAUUGACUACUUAUUUAUUUAAAAGGAUAAGAAUAAUUACCAUUUGAAAAUUAAUCUAUAGAUUAGUGGGUUUCUUGAAACCUAAUCUAGGAUCAAGUGGAGUUGGAAUAGGACUACUAUAUUGCAUUUAUGGACCAAGAUUUCUUUCAUAGAGGAAAAAAAAGAUAUGAAUUUCAAGUUUAAGACAAUGGCAAAAUAGACUUUUUAAGUCAUUGGAUUGACUUUGGUAGGCAUUAUGUUAGCAUAGUGCUUAAAGUACAAAAAAAUGCAUUUAAUUUUAACUUUUGCCCAUUAAUCAUAAAUUUCCUUGAAAUAAAUUAUUUUUUAAAAUUUGAUUAACUUAACGAUUGUUUGAUAAAUUAACCUAAUAAUUUAAAGUGAUUUAAUAACUUAAUUUAAGUUAUUAAACCAAUUAAAUUUAUUUGGUGAAAUAACUUAAAAUGAAAAAACAAUUUUAAAUAACAAGUAAAAGUAAUUAAUUUAUUUUUAAGUUUAUAUUUUUAUUUUAUAUUUUUAUCUUUAUUUCUCUUUGUUACUUUCAUGAUCUCUUUUGUUAUUCACAAUCUUCAUUCUUAUUCUAUCAUCAUUACCUUAAUUUUAUUUUAUAAAAAUAAAUAUAUUAAUUUGAUAAUUUAUAAUAAAUUUUAAGUUAAUUUUAUUAAACAACCUUAAUACUUAAAAUAAAAAGAAAGUAAUAAAUUUUAAAUUAAUCAUUAAAGUAUAAUUUAACUUAAAAUUAACUUAAAUUAUUAAGUAAUAAAUAUUAAAUUUUAACAAACAAUCUUUUAGUUUCAUUAUUCUUUUUUUUUCUUUUUAAAAUCGGAAUUUUCAUAUAAAAGUGAAACAUUUUAUAUAAAAAAAAUGUAAAUUUAUCUUAAAUUUUUUAAAAUUACUUUCAAAAAAUUUAAAAUUUGAUAUAGUAAUUUUCUUUUAUGCCCUAAUUAUUAAAUUUUAAAAUAAAUUAAAAUGAUAGCUUACGUGAGUGACUCUAGUGUAUGCUGUUAGGUUAGUCCCUGAUGGGACUAGUUUGGCCUUUGACUCCCAUAUCAGGAUAAACUGGGCAUAGAAAAUCCAAUAAGUUAAUUUUUAACGGUAGUGGCCGAACAACCCAAGAGGGACACGUUUCCAUCGAAGAGAACGUGGUUGAUGCUUGUAUGACUCUCGCGAGUACGACUACGAAUUUUGUCUUUUGCUUCCAUGCAAUUUAUUAGAAGGUCGGUCCAAAGUCCACUCUCUUUUCAUGGUGCGUGACCAAUUUCAAAAUAUUUACGUUAACAUUAAAUUCAAAAUUUUGAAGACCCACAGACUCUCCCAAUCCCAUUUAGAAAGUAUUUAAUACACAGCCCAAGCCACAACCACUUCUUUACUUCUUCCUAAAUCAUUACUCUAUACUUCAGAAAAUUCUUAUUUCAUAAUUUUGGGCCUUAGAAUCAAGUGGGAGUGUGUGUUUUCUAUGAUCUUUAGACCUGUGUGGGAAAAAUUUGGGUUUGAGUUUGAGUGCGGUAGGUGUAAAUUAGCAAAACCACCCAAACUUAAUAUGCAAUAAUGGCUGAUGUUAAAGCAGAGUGCUUUUAUCGUAGUAGGAGUGAAACACUCGGAACAGUCAGCACAAGGAGUAGCAGUAGAAAGAGAAAACGAUAGCUAAAAAAGAAAAUAAGAGAGAGACCAAGAACAAAAACGAAAACAACAACAACAGACUCUGAUAGAUAUCAUAAAAGGGCGUGGAAAUUCAGUUUGUUGUUCAGAUCUUCUCAACUCCCAUUCUCGUUCCUAGAUCCUCACUUUUUACCCACUUCACCGGACUUCUGCUUUCCAGUCACUAUGCUGUCGCUUUCCUGCCGCGGACCCAUCACUGGGUUUAUGAGGUUACAGUGGUGAGAUCAGUUUUGUCCUCUCAAUUUGCAUACAAAGCUCUGAAUUGAAGUUUGGGAAAUGGGUUUUGGUUUUUUUUUGCUGUUUGUUCUUCUGGGUGUUGGUUUUGGUUAUUUUUGGGAGGGAGGUUGAUUGUGUUUUCCAUUGAGGUAUGUGUUUGGAGUGGUUUUUAGCUUUGUUUGUUUCAUAUGUUGAGACUCUUUUGGUGUUUGAAGUAAUUGCUAAGUGGGUUUCUCUGAUCUGAAUAACUUUUGGCCUGUAUUGGUCUUUGGGGUGAUCUGAUCGAGGUGGGUUUAAAAUAUUUUAAAUGGGGUUCUAUUAAAUAUCUUCAAUUCAAUACAAGUAGUUAAUACUCUGUCGGUUCAAUUCACUGGGUGGUUGAUUAAUGCAUAUGGGGCUUGAUAAAUGAGCUGAAUUAAGACUAUCACAUGAUUCAUACCUUCUUUUCCUUUUGCAUUCUUUUGGUUUUGGGUUGAUUUUUAUUGGGCGUUUGCUUAUUGGGUUUCUCUUUUCCGGGAAGAACUGAAUUGCUGAGCCCUAAAAUGGGAAAUGGGAAAUGGUUAUAUCAUGUUGGCAAGUUUGAAUGCUGAGAUGUUUGAUAUGGUUUCAUGGUAAUUCAUCAGCUCUACCCAGUCCAGAUUGGGUAUACUGCAAUACUGGGUUCUGGGGUUGGAUUGGUUUUGUUACAGUUAAUACUAUUAUGUACAAACUUCUUGAAUUUUUGCUCAACUCAGCGUGAUUUCCUGUCCGCACUGUGACUUUCUGGCUUAGCAACCCACGUAGUUAACACAGCUUUUGUUAUUAUUCUAUGAGCUCUUAUUUAACUUGUUACAGGAUUUUGUUCCUCCUCUUUUCUUUUCUGUCAUUUUUCUUUUUGGAAAAAUUUAAAUUUAGAAGAAUUCUGAGGAUGAUCCAUUUAUGAAUGAGCCACCUUUUGAAAAAAUGGUUAUGGGGUUUGAGAUCUCAUGUGGAUCAGCUAGAUCAUUCUUGUUGAAAAUUAAUGAAUUGCAUACUUUUUUUGCCUUCAUUAUUCUGUUCUUCGAUGAAUAAUUUUUUUUUUUUUUUUUCCUUUUUGUAGAUUCCCCUUGUGGUUGUUUGUUAUCACAGGGAUGUAUAAGAACCAGUUGCAAGAAUUAGCGCAGAGAAGCUGCUUCAACUUGCCAUCCUAUGCCUGCAUUAGGGAAGGACCAGAUCAUGCCCCACGCUUUAAAGCCACAGUUAACUUCAACGGUGAAGUCUUUGAGAGUCCAACCUUCUGCAAUACUUUGAGACAAGCUGAACAUGCAGCAGCAGAGGUAGCACUUAAUGUGCUUUCAAAAAAUGGCCCUUCUAAAGCACUGGCUGCAAAAGUUCUGGUACGGGUUUAAACUCAUAUAUUCCUUCCCUUUCAUUCUAUCUGUAACUCGCCUUUCUCCAGUCAUUUAAUUGGGCCUUUAUAAAUUGCCUUAAGUAUUUUUUCUCUAUCAAACAUUAUUUGCUUACUACUCUUGACAAGGUGUUAUGGUAGAGGAUAUAUUACAGGACACAGAAAUUUCUGUCUAAAACUUGAUAUUAGUCUGAGGAAUCACACAUAUAAUGGACUGACAAGUAGUAUAAAACUGGAGGAAUGCAAUGUAUUUUUCUAGUGAUGUGGUGGCUGGAUUUGAAUGUAGAAGAAUGAAGGAACUCGAGCCACCCAAAAGUUCAACAAGUUUGGAAACUGUCAAGUCUAAGGAGGGAAUAAAUUCAUAAGCAAAUGCAAGCCUAGAAAGAAGAUCUUCUCAAAAGAGAUGUGUGCAGGAGAUCUUCCCAAGCCAAGCUUGAAGUUCUACCACAAGAUACUCGAUAAACUUAAGAUCACAUCCAAUGGAUCAACCUCCCACCUCUUUCCAACUUGCAAAAGUGUGGAGUAUAUAUAUCUUCCUAUAACGGUGUUGGUGCUUCAUUACCACAUAAUACUAUCUGUUGAAAGUAGAAGAACUGAAAGAAAUGUCAAAACUUAUUCCCUUGUGUCUCCAUAGCUACAUAUAUAGGUUGGGUGAAAUUCCAUUCUUCAUUUCUAGAGAAGGGUUCAAGAAAUCACUCCCUAACUGAUUACAUGAGUCAUUUAUGCUUUUUUUAUUCCAUUCUUCAUUUCUAGAGAAGGGUUCAAAAAAUCACUCCGUAACUGAUUACAUGAGUCAUUUAUGCUUUUUUUAUCAUUUCCUAUGAUACAGGAUGAAACUGGAGUUUACAAGAACUUGCUUCAAGAGACAGCUCACAGAGCUGGGUUGAAACUUCCUGUUUAUACCACUGUUCGAUCUGGACCAGGCCAUAUUCCUGUUUUCUUUUGCACAGUGGAUAUUGCAAAAAUGAGCUUUACAGGAGAACCAGCCAAAACCAAAAAGCAAGCUCAGAAAAAUGCAGCAAUGGCUGCUUGGUCUGCCUUGAAACGAUGUAUGUUUUUUUUUCCCAUUUACUUUGCUCUUCUUCAGUCUUCAGAGUCCUCUGGACUUAUUUAUGAAAGCUAUCCGGCACAAGUUUUGAAUGAAUUGUGAACAUGGCAUGAGUUACUCAGCAUGGAACUAUCAGAAAGAAAAGAAAGGAAAAUGAGCUGUGGCCAUGAGCAUACAAAGUUUGUUUGUUUCAGGAACUUGCAAUGCUCAAAAUUUUUUCUUAUUUUGGCUGCCUUUGUCAUGGUAUUCUUCUUGAUCAAAUUCCAAACACUUUCUGAACAGUGCCAUGCUCCAGAAAGUCCACACUCACCCCUUUUUUUUGUCUCAAGGGCAGGUUCUAAUGGUUCUAAUGCCCACCAAAUCCAUAAGCAGUGGAAUAGUUUCUGAAAAGGAAUUAACAAAAUGUAUUCAUUUGUUUGCCUUAGUCAUCCAGUCUAACACUUGUCAUGGUGUUUGUGCAGUGUCUCAGGCCAGCUCUUCCACUUCUUCCGCUCCUUUAGAGUCUGGAGGGAAUGAUGAACUGGAGCAAGUCACUGUUGCCCGCUAUCUUGCUAGUUUACAACCACCAGAGGCGAACAAGUCUGCACAAAGAGACGGGCUACUAGGACAGGGUUCUACACCUUGUAGGAGGGACUUGAUGCCAAAUGACAAUGCCAUAUCAUUGUACUCUAUGCACUGCAGGGACUGGUCUCAUUCUGCUCCUCUUAUUCAAUUGGCACAUCAAUCUUGGCCCAAAGAGAGGGCAUCCCAGCAGCAGAACCACCUGUUGGCUCUUCCAUCUGCACCAACCACUCUCCCCAGACCUCAGAUGUCUCCAAUUAUUCGGUCCAUAUUCCAGCCAGACCAUGGGCCAUGUUUCUUACCAAGGGAGCAAGAGCCAGCCCCUCUUAGUCCUGGAAUUGGUCCAUUUCUUUAUUUCUCAAAUGGUUCAAUGCCAGUCCCUGUUAGUAAUCUCUCCCAAGUUACCAUUCAAGAGAUAGAGGAAAAACCCAAAGUGGAACAGGAGUGGCUGAAUGUUGAUGCAAAUUCCGGCUGCUGGAAAAUUAAUUUCCCCUCCAAUUUAUCUGGGCUCUCUCUAGUUGAAAUUCCAAAGUGUCCCAUUUCUCCUAACAGUCAUUCUGAACCUAUCCAGGAGGCGCUGCAGGGAAAAGAAGAGGAAAACAGUGCUGGAAACUCUGCUCAAUUAGGAACCAACCAAAUCCAACGACUUGCUUGGACAUCUCCCAGGUUUGCGGAUACCAGGUCCAGUGCAGGAGCCUCGGAUGAAGCUAAUCUGUGGUUACAAAACCAGCAAUUCUUGGACUAUUUGCAGUCAAAUAUCAGAUCCCAAAAUGCCCCCAUGGCUACUUACCCAGGAUCAUCCAGAGUUUAUACACGACCUUCUGCAGCUCCUGUGACGAUCAGAAGCAGUGAUGCAUCAUCCAUCCGAAAGCCCAGACCAAUGAGUUCGAGCUUAUUCGUAUCAGCUCCACCACCAACCAGGUACGCGGCUCCUACUUGGUCAACAAGGCCAACGCUAGAAGGAGCGAAGUACACUGGAGUGAGGCCUUGUAGUAGGUUCAUGGCACCAGCGGUUAACAUCCGAUCAGUUGUGCCAGUGUGCUCAGCUCCUCCUGCUAAAGACAGGGCAGGAGGCAGCCAGGAGGAGAGAGCUGGAAGGCUACAAGUUCAGAAGUUGGGAAGGUGAAAAUGUGAGGGGGGCAUAGAAUUUUGAAAGCUGAGUAUCCUUUCUGGUUUUUGAGGCGAUUGCUGAGAGAAGUCUGUAAUCUAGGUGCUUUUGGAUUGGGUGACACAAAAUAAAAGAAUAAUAAGAGAAUAAAAUGAUCUUAUUCUUUGACAUCUUCCCAAAUUUUUGGUUCUACUUUUGCUUUUUCUUCAUCCCUUCGUACCAUUUUUUCAGUGAUAAAAGAGUGUUUUUCUUAGCAAGUGUUUUUAUUUUAUUAAAACAAAAACAAAAUGUUUUGCUAAUUGUGAUGGGCUUUGAGUUGGUUACAGCAGUUUCGGCCCAUUACAAGUUGGGCCUAGCCCAGCCCAAGCUCGAACUGGGAUUUAAAUAUUUAAUACAAGCGAUGCCGUUUAAAUAGAAACCAAGUGGACAAAAAGGCCUUGAGAUGAUUCAACUGUCAGUCAGCUUCAGAUGACAGUUGCCUGUCAUCUUAGCCUGACUCCGAGACAACUUUUAAACGGACUCGAUGGCCGGCGCUACUGCCAUCUGCAUACAUCAUGGUGACGUGGCAUAUUUAACAUGGUGAUGUUGGUAGUUUCAGGCCACGUCAGACAGAUUGGAGGUUGAAAAGGGAUAAACGAUUCCGGGAGGCUGAUCCCUUCUUCAUUUUCAAACCCUAAACAAGGGCUGAGUCCCAAAAGCAUGAACCAGUGGAAUCGGAUCCACAACUCACUUCCCUACGAUAUUGCCCUCAAAAUUGCAUCAUCCCUCCAGGUUUUUUUUCUUUUUUCUUUUUUCUUUUUUCCCUUUCUUCAAAUGUAAUAUUUGAUUUUUUUUUGUUGUUGGGAAGGCAUCGGAUCUAUGUUCUCUGGGAAGUUGCUCUAGGUCUUGGCGGGAACUAUGGGGGUCGGAUCCUAUAUGGGAGCGUCUGUGCAGAGAUAGAUGGUCUGUCCAGUGUAUGUUAGGAGAAUCCUCAGCCUCGGAGCUUCACCCCCCUAAAGAGGUUCGAGUUUUUUCUUUCGGCAUUUUUAAACCUUAUUGCAGUUUGUUUGGUUUCCGAGAAAAUUGAGGAAAAGAAAAGGAGAGGAGAUUUGGGAUUUUAUGUUUUUGUGUUGUUUUGGUAUCUGGGAAAUGGAAAAUGUGAGUCAAUUCUUGAAACUCUGAUAGUCGCAUUUAUGGACUUCUAGUUCCAAUUCUGGGAUCUAAUAUGAUGAAAAAGAAAAUGGAUUUUCUUUUCCCACAAUUUCUCAGCAGCCACACGAAUGACUCAAUAUAACAUGUAGUUUAUUAGUUUGCUUGAAUUGUUAGAGGAGAGGGUCUUUGUACAUUAGGACUAUAUCGGACCAUUCAAUUCUUUCAUACUAGGCAUUUGAAUUGGGAUUUUUGGUUUUUCAUUGCUUUUGAAUUGAGGCUGUUUGUAGGAUAAGCAUGGGUUUAGAAGUUGCUUUGCUGAACCACUGAACAAGGAUCCGGACAGCCACCAAUUUGAAUAAGGUUGUGCUGGAAAAGAAAGAUUACAAACUUGGUCCAUUUGGAAAACUCUGGAUUUGGAAUUUGGAUGACACAGCUUUUCUAGUAAUUUUUUGUUACUUCAACACAAAAUUGGGAUAAAUGACUUGCAAAUUUGGUCAAAACACACUGAAUCUUGGAGGAAUGAUAGAAGAAUUUGGAUUCUUAAAAGUCAAUAUUUUUAAAUUUGGAAGAAUGUGGAUUUGAGUAAUAUGACCAUAAUUCAUAAAAUUGAAAACCAUAAGCAUGAACAAAGCUGGGUGUGGGGUUUGAUGAAGUUUAGUUCAUCGUAUCUUUAAUUUUGUACUGAUUACAUUUCAAAUGAUAUAUCUAUGCUUCAAAUACCAUAGAAGACACAAUGUAUUCUACUAUUACCCUGUAAUGUCCAAAGGCUCCUUCUUCCAAUCCACCUCCUUUCAAUACAUUUAGAAGACAGACUACACUCUAUUCUUUCCCAUCAUGUGGUUUGCUGGUAUCGUUCAAAUUGUUGUUUGAAAAUUUAAAUGUGUAGGGAUGGAAGAGCUUUUACAUCAAGUGGCACCAUGAGAUGGCCGGUAGAGCUACUGAUGUUGUUAGGUUUGUGGAAAGUCGUUCCUCCUCUGAAUCACUUGAGGUUGGAGAUCAUCUGAAAGCAAUUGUGGGCCUGAGAGAUAGGCAGCUUGGAUUUAAAGAUGUUCAAAUAUUCCUUUUCAAACCAAAGCUUAAUGUGCUGAUUAACUUGGUUGGCCUGCAAUAUUGCAUUCAAUGGCUUAAAGUGCCGGUAAGUACUGCCAUGAACCACAUGUACCAUCUAUCUUUUGAAUUCAUUCUCAUUUCCAUAUUUUACUAAUCGCCCUUGCCUAGUUUUGCUUCUUUCAUUCUAGAAUAUUGUCAUAGGUGGCGGCAUAUGUUAAAUUAAAGAAUAUAGAUAGGAGUUAAGUUUCUUAUUCUGAUCUCUAAAGCAGAUAAGGGCUAAUCUCUAUGUAGCUAAUAUUCAGCAAAUCAAUAUCAUACAUAUUUCACCUCUAGUAGGAACUAUUGUACCCCAACCAAUCCCUAUAGAAAGGGCAGGGAUUGGUUGUAUCUGAGGCUCCUUAAUUGGGUGUUGCAUUAUGGGACAUGUGUUUUUGGGUUGGGCAGGUGAUGAAAGAAUGAGCAUGACUGCAUGAGUCUAUUUGCAUGUCUGGUAAACAAAGCAACAGCCCCUUUUUCUUUCUUGUUUUGGUGUCCAUGCCCAUGCACCAGCCUGCGAGGAGUACUGUUCUAGAGUCUGUAGCUCAUGUUAGAAGCCUUUAUGUAUCUUCCAUUAGCUAUUGAAAAAAAAAGGAAAAAAGACUGCUGGCUGAAUUGUUGAUGGGUAACACAUCCUGGUUAUACAUCUGUUAGAAGCCUUGGUCACACUCUUUGAUACUCCGACAUUUUGCAGGCUGAGCAUGUCAUGGAAGCAAUUCAAAGCUGCAAGAUUUCAGAGCGGCAAGUCUGCGUGAAAUGGUGGAAGCUAGGGAGGUGGUUUUAUGGAUUCCGCUUGCGGGACGAAUCUCAUUGUCGCCGUGUCUCUUUGAGGGACGUUGCAAAAGAGGAUGAGGUACUUUGGGUGCUUCACCGAGGAGCUAUUCAUGAGGUUUUGCGCGUUCAGAUCUCUAUCCCUAGUCCCUCAACAACUUCCUGGUCAUGUCAAAGCUCCCAAACAUGAGGUUUGGGAAUGGUUCCCUUGCACAAUAUGAUGCAAUGUGUAAAUCUGUACAAAACACUAACUCUAUACAUGUAUAUGCCUGUUUAUGCUCUGAGUGUAAAAUUAAUCAAUCCAGUAGUAGAGCAGUACUGGAUAUGGAUUGUCUCAAAUGUCUAGAACUUUGACUGUAUAUAGAGUGGGAGUUUCGCCGUUCUCCAUUAACAAGCUUGAGUCAUGAGUAGUGUGGAAUGGAAACUGUGAUCUCUCUCAAAGGACCCAUAGGAAAGGAGUAAUUUGUAAGUUUGGAUGAUAAAAUUUUAAUUAAAUAUAAAACAAUUUUUUUGCAACAUUUUCAUGGGAAGAAAUAUUGUUUGUAAAAUAAAAGUCUGUUUGAAAAAUUAAAAUAUUUUUAAUUUAUUUUUAAAUAUAUUUUAAAAAUAAUUUUUAUAUCUAAUAGUUUAUUUUUAAUUAUUCUACAUGUUUGACUUCUAAAAAAUAAGUGAAAAUAAUAAAAAAUAAUUAAAAGAUGUUUUAUGAAAACACUUUAUUUUUUAUUAUUAAGAACAAAAAAUAGAAAAUUGUUUUUUAUUGUCUAACAUGUUUUAUGUGUUUUUUGUUAUGGAGAAGAGGAAAUUGUUCUAAAAAAGGUAUUGAAAGAGACUCUUAGGCCUUGUUUGAUAACUGUUUUUUAAAACAAUUCUAAAAAAUAAUUUUUAUGAACAAUUUUUAAAAAUUGUUCUUGAAUGUUUUUUAUAACAAAAGUCUAUUUGGAACCUAAAGUUUUUUUAACUUGUUUUUAAUAUUUUUAAAAAUAAUUUUUAUGUCUCUAAUUUUAUUUUUAAUUUGUAUAAUUAUUUUUGAAAAUAGCUUUAAAAAAAUAACUAAAAAUAAUUAAAAAAUAUUAUGUGAAAACACCUAUUUUUUGUUUUUUGAUUAUAAAAAAAAAACAAAAAAACUUUUCUUGAAAAUAGUUGUAAAAUUUCCCAACCUUUUGGCCAUGGUCUUUCUUUUAUUAUUCAAUACUAUGGUCUUUCUUUUAUUAUUUAAUAAAUGAAUAAAUAAAACCCUGAAAUACAGUGUAACCCUGGAACACUACCCUAAUUUAGCAUAGUAGCAUUAAACCUCGUCAUUUUUGUCACACCAUUCCUUGUUUUCAUCUCUGUGGCAAGUUUGUGGAGACGAAAAACAGAGUAAGGUAACUCAUCAUAUUCAGUUUGGCUGCUGAGAAACAAGGGAAAAAUAAGUGAAAGCCAGAAUGUUACAGUUCCUUCUUUAUUACCUUGCAAUCCAGUGCCCUCACAUCCACCACGAGCGGCUCCUAAACCAUGUCCUGCGUUUGGCUGCGGAGAAAACGGAGGAAAGGAAAGUUCUCUCAGCAACCAAGUGGAGCUACAAGUGUAACACCAUGACUUUGAUUUGUUUAUUUACUUAUUAAUUUUUGUUUUCGAUCUAAAAUUUUCAUCUGGCUUUCCCAUGGAAGACUUGAGCUUUGCCUAUGUUAACACAAAUGGAUUACGAGGAUAACAUGAGGAAAGUAGCUCACAUUUUCAGAAUAGACCAGAUUGUAGAAUAUGGUGCUUUUAGAUUAUGGAAUGGCUUCUGUAACUUGUGUCGGGUCACACCCUGAGGUUCCAAGAUGCUCGUUUUGUUUGAAACCCCCGCGGGGUUUGCUCUAUUUAAAGUAUUGGACGAAGGAAAGCUCUCAAAGUUAAGGUAAUUAACAUUGAAUUAUGUUUCAUAUGUUGUCUUUAAGGCCUUGCUUCUAUGAUGAAUGUGUUGGAAAAACGUGCUUCAUUUGGAUCUUGGAAAUUGUGAGGAAUGGGAUCAAAUCUCCAAAGUUCGAAUAGGAACCCAAGGCUCGAUCUAUAGAGGUCGUUAUCUUAUGUUGUUGUAGGGAAAAGAAGCUGGUUUUGGUGAAGAUUAUGUUUAGAACCAAAAUGUAUCUUUUUUCUGGCAAAAAGUUUGUUUAUAAGUAUUUUCCUUCCAAACAAAUGUUACCUUAGUAAACUUGAUGUCUAAUUUUUCGAUGUUAUAGGACCUCUCAUCAGUUUGAUUUCCUAUUGCAGGACUUGUGGAAGGAGUUUUCCACAUCAGAGUCGACUCAGACAGGUCACUCAUCUAUGCUUUCUGAUGUUGAGUUUCAAAAAUAGACAUUUGAUAUUCUCUUUGGGGUCAUUAAUAUAGAGUAGUUUCGGGGUGGAUUUUGGUAAAUAGUGAAUACCUAUAUAUUAUCAUGGAGAGUAUAUUUUAAAAUUAGCAAAUGUUUUGAGCCUUGAAGUAGAAGCGCAAUGUCUUGACUCUUUAGAAUGUUUAGAGCUUCUUCAUAGGAAGAAGUGCAUGUAAUGGAUGCUAUUUAAUAAAUAUAAGUCUGCCUUCUGUUCUGGUCAUUUCUUCACUUUGAUGCUACUGAUCUUCCUGUACUGUAAUGAAUUCAUAUUAUUGAGCUCCUUUUCUCUUCCCUUUUGAACCAUGAUCCGGAGAUUGUAUGGUUGCACAGUGACAUUGGAUGGUGAAGUUGAAAGCUUUUAGCAAGUUUAAUAAUAUGUCUGAAGCUUUGUCAGCAGCAACCUUGUUGAUCAAUAGUAAGCCCAGAAACAGUCUUUGCAACUUCUUGCAUGCACACUGUGAUGGUGAAACAUUGGCUAUAGCUGACUCGAAACUUGGAAAUGCAAUAAAAGAGACACCGGUAUUGUAGUAUUUUUAUUAUUUUAUGCCUAGAUUUUCUAAGUUUCUAACUGCAGUCAGCCACUCUUCUUUGUCAUUCAUACAAGUGAGGAGAAGAUAUUUCUCUUCUUUUUUUUUCUUUUUUUUUUUUUCUUUUAGCAGCAAAUCGAAUGUGUUCACAACAAUGCUGUAAUGGAGCUGAUGAGAGGAGUGAGAAGUCAAUUGACAGAACUCAUUUCCGGGUUAGCAGUUCAAGAUUUGGCUCCAAUGAGCUUGGGUUAUUCCACAGCUUGUCUAGAUACAAGCUAAAGUUCAGUCCUGAUAAGGUGAAAUCACUAAACAUUUGGCCCUUAAAAUUUUGCAUUUGUACCCAAAAUUUGUUUGUAAAAGCAUGUUUUGUGUUUGGAAAAGAUGAGACAUGAUAUGCCCUUUCUGUUAUCAUGGCACUUGUGGCUGAAUUAAGAGGAUUGCUUGGUAUAUGGGAAGUGUAAAUCUCAAUGGAUGACCCUAACAAGAUAUAUCUAAUUUGGCAGAAUAAUAUGUGGACUAAAAGCCAACUCUUAGAGGGGUAUUUGGUAAACUGACUUAAUGACUUAAUCUAAGUCAUUAAGUGCAUGAAUUAUGUUUGGUAAGAUAACUUAAUUCCAUAACUUAAAAUUAAAAUUGACUCAAAGUAUUGAAUUAAAAUAAAUAUUUUUUUCUAAAUCUCAACUAUAAUUUGUCUUGGUUGUUUAUGUUUCUUUCCUCUAUGUUUCUCUCUCAUAACCUCAUUACUCAAUAUUAAUGAGGUUAAAUAUGUUAAUCUAAUAGUUUAAAAAAACUUUUAAAUGAAUUUUACCAAACAAUCUUAAUACUUAAAGCAAAAAUUAUGUGAUAAAUUUUAAAUUAACAACCUAGCAUAAUUUAACUUAAAGUCAUCUUGAGUUACCAAGCAUUAAAUAUUAAGUUUUACCAAAUCCCACCUUGGGAAGAUCUUGUUGAAUUGAAUUGGUUCAAGUGACACAUGUGAUUAGAGUUUUAUGGUAAAAUUUAGGAUUCUCUCCUCUUUUUGCCCUUUUAUCUGGACUGACCAAGGAUUCUUCUAUUUCAUUUCAGUAAUGCCUAUUGAUCAUCAUGUGUAAGGCAUUUCUGGAUUUCAUUUUGCUACUUACUUUGACAACAUAUUCAUUUAAUUUGCAAUGAGUAGCUAUGCAGUGCUAUGACUCGGGUGUUUUUUCUUCUGGGAUUUCCUGUAGGUGGAUACAGUGAUUAUUCACGCUAUUGGAUUGUUGGAUGAUCUCGACAAAGAAUUGAAUGCUUACGCAAUGAGAAUUUGAGAAUGGUAUGGAUGGCAUUUUCCAGAGCUUGCUAAGAUUGUACAGGAUAACAUCCUUUAUGCCAAGGCAGUGAAGUUGAUGGGUAACCAUGUGAAUGCUGUGAAACUUGAUUUCUCUAAGGUAAGGAGGCUAGAUUCCUUUGCCUUAACCACUAAGAUAGGAAAACAAAUCAGUUGUCACCUUUUUCCACAUCCAUGAUGGUUAGGUCUCUUUGUUUGAUAGUUUUUGAUGGUCAUGAUCCAACAUUCUGUCUAUCAUGUAGUCGUGACUAUAUUUUUAGUUCAUCAAGAAAAUGAUGAUGUUUUAGAGAGAUUCUGUAAUUGUAAUUAUAACCUGUUGGAUAUGUUUUGGCCUACAGGAGUCUUCUUUCGUAUGAGAUUGCAAGGUCUAGUAGCCAAACCAAAUUGUGUUAAAACCUGUGACCUUUUCUGGGGUCAAUUUUUGCAGAUAUUGCCAGAAGACACCAAGACAGAGCUAAAAGAGGCAGCUGUGAUAUCUAUGGGAACUGAAGUUUGUGACCUAGAUUUGAUAAAAUAUCAAAGACCUCUGUGAUCAGGUGUUGUCUCUUGCUGAUUAUAGAGCUCAACCAUCUGAAAAGCAGAAUGAACACCAUUGCCCCAAAUCUAACUGCUCGUCAGGGAGUUAGCUGGUGCUUACCUAAUUGCCCAUGGAGGCAGUUUGUUGAAUCUUGCUAAGCAACCUGGCAGCACAGUUCAAAUUCUUGGUGCAGAAAAGGCCCUUUUCAGAGCUCUAAAGACAAGACAUGCCACUGCAACAUAUGGUCUUAUCUCUCAUGCAUCAUUGAUUGGUCAAGCAGCCCCAAAACUUAAGGGGAAGACUUCUUGAUCUCUUGCUGCCAAGGCUGCAUUGACCAUUCGGUAAGAUGCUCUUGGAGAUAACCAGGAUAACACUAUGGGAUUAGAAAAUCAAGCAAAGUUAAUACAAGAUGCGAAGUCCCUAUCUGAUGCAUUUUUGUUUCUCCUGAACCUCUUAUUAUGUGGAACUCUUUUGUAGCUUGAAGCCUGGUUGGGGAAUCUUGAGGGCAGAGAAUUGGGUCACUCUGUUGGGUCAAUUAAAGGCAAAUCAAAGAUUGAAAUGUAGGAACAAAGAUCGGAAGGAAUGAGGCCACUAAUAACUGCUGCCAAGGUCUGAAUUUUAUCCCAGUCCCUGCUUUUGAAUAAUUUGGCCUUGCUAAUAUUUUUGUUGAAUUUGACACCCGUUUGCCCAUGAACAGACUCAUAACCCAGCUACUGAUUCAGUCAAUGGGCAAACAACUGAGUAUAUGGCAGAGAAAUCAGUAGAGAAACAGGAGAAAGAUAUCAUCCCUAAGAAGAGGAAAGGUGAAGCAAAACCGUCUCAGGCCAAUGAAGCAAGAAAGGCAAACUCCCAUUUCCACUAACGAGAGAAGAAGAAGAAACCGAACAGAGCUGACACGACAGGCAAAACUCAAUUGCUGCAAAUUGAGGAGCCAAGUUUACAACCAGAGGAAGUGGAGACUGACCAAAGAAAAGAAGAAAAUAGAGGUGGCUGAAGCCAAGGGUAUUAUGGAAAUGGGGAAUCAGAUAGCUGAUCCAAAAGUUGCAGUAGUAGUUCACUAUUAAAGACAAUAAUCUCAAGAAGCCAAAGAAGACUGCAAUUAAAUGAAGAAAAUAAUCCAAAAUAUAUUUGUGCAGGUUAGAACCAAAUGACCUAAUAUUAAAAGGGCAUUUUUGGAUCCUGCAAAACUGGGGUGUAUUUUGAAGAACAGCAUAUACCCAUGUGCUGAUUUAAGGUUUUGAUCGAUUACUAUCAACUCUGAAAAUGGCAAUUGGCUGCCACUACCUUUUAUCCAAGAGAGUGGCAUCUUUUUGGCAUUCCCCACCUUUGACCCCUUUGGGGCUCCCUUUCAUAAAUGAAUUCUCACACUUUUCCUCCCACAAAAAAUAUAUAAAUUAUACGGUUCAUCUCAAACCAACAAGCUGGAUCAGAAAAGAACAGAAAGUGUUAGAAGUAAGAAAAAGAAAAGGGAAAAUGGACUAAAAGUCUCUUAUUGAAUGGUAAGCUGAGCAUAGGUACAAUCAAACACAAAUCCUUGAUGAACAGGUGAAUCCAUCAAUGGUGAAUCAGAAAUAAACAUAAAGAAAAUCCAUAAGUGGAUACAUUGAAAGGGGGAGUAGACCAAAAGAAGAGGGGAGCAUAGAAAUAAGUCAACAGCAACGUUGGUAAACAACAGCAACACCUCCGCGGCGUGGACGAGGAGAGCAAAUAACCAUGAGUGUAAGAGCCAAGACAACCACCAAGAAAAUCCCUGUUAGAUCUAUGCCACCUUCAUCACCGUCCAUGCAACACAACUUCCCCAUCCCCAAACAACGCUCUCUGUCUCAAGUUGCCGACGCCUCUUGUUUCCUAAGCUGCUUUGCAAAUGAUGGGAGAUGGAAUGAAAUAUAUUAAGGGAGGUGGAGAUGGUACCAUAGUUUUAUAGGAGGUCGUUAACUAAAACGUCUUUUUUUUAUUCCAGAGUCUUUAAAUAUUUAAAUUUUCCAUCCGAGUUGAAGGUAAACUUUCACUGGAUUUUGCUACAUGACUUCAAAGAAAUUUCACACUUUGAAUCUUCAAAGAAAUUUUCUUCUAAAGAUCUAUUCAUACUUAGAAAAAAUCUACACGCUUAUUUCUGUUCUAGUCAAUUCCUUUUUUUUCUAGUUUCCUUUCGUUUUUCUCAAAAGGAGGGUGGAAAUAAGGAAGCGAUUGGGUUGUUGGUGAAACUUUCAAUACUCAAACUAAUCACAGUUGACUAAUAAGGUUACCGGUAUCUGCACCCUAGUUGACAAAUAACCAAGAGAACGACUAUUUGCAGACUGCUCUCUCUUCAUUGGAUUCCUGUAAGAAAAUUCAUCAGAUACUCAGAUAUCUCCAGUCAUGGAGGGUGGUUUUGGAAGGAUGUUAAAACACAUUUUACUUUGAUUUAGCAGUUCUUCCAAGCCAUCAAAUGCUACUAGGUUAUUACUGUUCCUGUCGCUUAGAAUCCAGGAAGAAAACACAUUAGGUAUUUAUUAUCUCACCAACCCAAGAUUGAAUACAUAAAGAAAGUCAAUCCAAACCCUGUAUCCAAACCCUGUAUCCAUACACCAAGGAAUGAGGCCACUAAUAACUGCUGCCAAGGUCUGAAUUUUAUCCCAGUCCCUGCUUUUGAAUAAUUUGGCCUUGCUAAUAUUUUUGUUGACUUUGACACCCGUUUGCCCAUGAACAGACUCAUAAUCCAGCUACUGAUUCGGUCAAUGGGCAAACAACCGAGUAUAUGGCAGAGAAAUCAGUAGAGAAACAGGAGAAAGAUAUCAUCCCUAAGAAGAGGAAAGGUGAAGCAAAACCGUCUCAGGCCAAUGAAGCAAGAAAGGCAAACUCCCAUUUCCACUAACGAGAGAAGAAGAAGAAAACGAACAGAGCUGACACGACAGGCAAAACUCAAUUGCUGCAAAUUGAGGAGCCUAGUUUACAACCAGAGGAAGUGGAGACUCUGACCAAAGAAAAGAAGAAGAAAAUGGAGGUGGCUGAAGCCAAGGGUAUUAUGGAAAUGGGGAAUCAGACAGCUGAUCCAAAAGUUGCAGUAGUAGUUCACUAUUAAAGACAAUAAUCUCAAGAAGCCAAAGAAGACUGCAAUUAGAUGAAGAAAAUAAUCCAAAAUAUAUUUGUGCAGGUUAGAACCAAAUGACCUAAUAUUAAAAGGGCAUUUUUGGAUCCUGCAAAACUGGGGUGUAUUUGGAAGAACAGCAUCUACCCAUGUGCUGAUUUAAGGUUUUGAUCGAUUACUAUCCACUCUGAAAAUGGCAAUUGGCUGCCACUACCUUUUAUCCAAGAGAGUGGCAUCUUUUUGGCAUUCCCUGUAGGGAAUUAUACCGAAUUCCCAACCCGUAAGAAUCAAAAAAUUAGAGAAAAACACACGCCAAAGAAAAACAAUCACACGCACAAGACAGUAUUUACAUGGUUCGGCAAUUUUCCUACGUCCACGAAGUUGCAGGGAUAUCACUAUUAUCAGGGAAGAAUACAGAGUACAACUUAACGGCUACAAUAUUCUCUAUAUAUAUAUAGCACGGCAACCCUACCAUACUAAAAAACCCUAAUUACAAAAGGUGGUUCCACAAUGGGCUAAACGGGCCCAACAGGCCUCAAUAAAUCUCCCAUUAAAAAAAUCAUGCAAUAUUAUUCGGGUCGGGUCAUCAAACCGGAUCAAACAAAACUAGGCUCCACAAAGCCCAACAAAUCUCCCACUUGGAGACUAGUCCAAUCACCAACAUCAAACCGCUAUCCUCCAAGAAACGAUCCCUCAUCCCUACAACUCAUCCUCCUGUCCUCAAGCUAGAAGACCAAUUGAAGUUGCGCACAGCUUCAACUUCUCAAUAGUGACACCCUUAGUCAUCAUGUCUGCAGGGUUCUUAGAUCCACAAAUCUUCUCAAGUAUUACCAGUUUAUCCUCAACAAGAUAACGGAUAAAGUGGUAUUUUGUUUGUAUAUGUUUCGACUUUGAAUGAAAAGGCGAGUUUUUGGCAAGAAAAAUUGCACUCUGAAUGUCACUGUGUAGAAUGCCCAUCUCCUGCUUCUUACCCAAUUCAUCUAAGAAACCAUGUAGCCAAAUCAUCUCCUUUCCAGCUUCAGUUGCUGCAACAUACUCAGCUUCCGUAGUAGACAAAGUAACAAUCUUCUGUAGAUUUGNNNNNNNNNNNNNNNNNNNNNNNNNNNNNNNNNNNNNNNNNNNNNNNNNNNNNNNNNNNNNNNNNNNNNNNNNNNNNNNNNNNNNNNNNNNNNNNNNNNNUAGUUGAAUGACUACCCAAGGGUGUGCUCACUGGUUAGCUUCAUUCAUGUUGAACCUGCUGAGAACUUCUCACAUACUCUGACUGUGAAAGUUUCAAUGUACCAUUAGCCUUGUUUCUAAUGAUUCUCAUACCAAGGGAUUGCUUUGCAGCUCCCAAAUCCUUCAUUGCAAACUGUUUGGACAAUUGCUUCUUCAGAUUAUUAAUCUUCUCAAUGUCAGACCCUGCAAUAAGCAUAUCAUCCACAUACAACAGUAAUAUGAUGUAAGAAUUGUCAAAGGACUUAACAUAGCAACAAUGAUCAGCUUCACAUCUCUUGAACCCAAUUCUAUGCAUAAAAUUGUCAAACUUCUUGUACCACUGUCUAGGAGCUUGUUUAAGGCCAUACAAGCUCUUUCUCAGUUUGCAAACUAGAUUCUCUUGUCCCUGAACAAUGAACCCUUCUGGUUGAAUCAUGUAAAGGUCUUCCUCCAAGUCACCAUGAAGGAAUGCUGUCUUCACAUCUAACUGCUCAAGAUGUAAGUUUUCUACAGCCACCAUUCCAAGUACAAGUCUAAUUGUUGACAUCUUCACAACUGGAGAAAAUAUCUCUGUGUAGUCAAUGCCCUCCUUCUGCUGGAACCCUUUAACAACUAAUCUGGUCUUGUAACGUUUGCUGCCAUCAUGCUCAUUUUUUAUUCUGUAUACCCACUUGUUGUGCAAAGCCUUCUUUCCUACUGGCAAUUCAGUCAGUUCCCAUGUCUGAUUCCCCAAUAGGGAAUUCAUCUCAUCCUUCAUGGCUAACUCCCACUUGCUUGAAUUCUCAUCUUGCAAGGCUUCAUCAUAACACUCUGGCUCACCACCAUCAGUCAACAGGAGAUAAUUUAAAACAGGUGCAUAACGUUGCGGAGGUCUAAUGUUCCUGGAAGAUCUACGAACUUCAGCUACAGGUGUACUCAAAUCUACCUGUGAAUUUACAUUCUCCUUAUCUUUUUCACCCCCUUUUUGGACAGUACUUUCAGUCAAUUCAUCUAAGUUGACAAACUCAGAUUUCUUUUGAUCUAUCUCUGUAACAUCUGACGUUACAGUUGACCUGUCCUUGUACAUAACCUGUUCAUUAAAUAUCACAUUUCUACUUCUGAUGAUUUUCCUGUUUUGUUCAUCCCAAAACCUAUAGCCAAAUUUCUCAUCACCAUAGCCAAUGAAAAAACAUAUUUUUGACUUUGCAUCAAGUUUACUACGAGCAUCAGAAUCAAUAUGAACAUAAGAAACACAACCAAAAACUUUUAAAUGUGAAAACUUCACCUCUUUACCGCUCCAAACCUCCUCAGGAAGUCUGAACUCCAUGGGAACUGAUGGUCCUCGGUUUAUCAGGUAAGCUGCAGUGCUAACAGCAUCAGCCCAAAAAGUUUUUGGUAGUCCAGCAUGCAACCUCAUACUUCUAGCACGCUCACUGAGAGUUCUAUUCAUGCGCUCAGCCACACCAUUCUGCUGUGGUGUCCCAAGAAUGGUCUUCUCCAUCCUAAUUCCCUGUGCAGCACAAUACUCACUGAAUCCUCCAUCUAUGUACUCUCCUCCAUUAUCUGACCUCAAACAUUUUACUUUCAAACCUGUUUCUGUCUCAACCAUGGCCUUCCACUUCUUAAAAGUUACAAAUACAUCAUAUUUAUUUUUCAGAAAAUAAACCCAUACCUUUCUACUUGAGUCAUCAAUAAAAGUGAUGUAGUACCUUGAACCUCCUAGGGAUGCAACCGGAGAAGGCCCCCACAAAUCAGUGUGUACUAGUUCCAAUUUUUCAGCCUUCGGUGUCCUGCCAGUUUUCAAGAAGCUCACCUUUUUUUGCUUUCCUAAGAUGCAACUUUCACACAUGUCAAAAUCAAUGGACUUCAAUUCUGGUAGUUUUCCUUUUGACAGCAACAUCUUCAUCCCUUUCUCACUCAUGUGACCAAGUCUGCGGUGCCAUAGGCUUGUAUCAGUACUUGCAUCAGCAACUGCAAUUGUGUCUCUUGGACAUGAGGUCAUAUACAGAGUGUCAGUCUUCUUUCCACGAGCCAAUACCCUAGCUCCCUUUGUAACCUUCCAAGUACCACCAACAAAUAGUAUUGCAUGUCCUUCAUCAUCAAGUUGUCCAACAGAAAUUAGAUUCCUCCUCAAGUCAGGAAUAUGUNNNNNNNNNNNNNNNNNNNNNNNNNNNNNNNNNNNNNNNNNNNNNNNNNNNNNNNNNNNNNNNNNNNNNNNNNNNNNNNNNNNNNNNNNNNNNNNNNNNNCUUCUCAAGUAUUACCAGUUUAUCCUCAACAAGAUAACGGAUAAAGUGGUAUUUUGUUUGUAUAUGUUUCGACUUUGAAUGAAAAGGCGAGUUUUUGGCAAGAAAAAUUGCACUCUGAAUGUCACUGUGUAGAAUGCCCAUCUCCUGCUUCUUACCCAAUUCAUCUAAGAAACCAUGUAGCCAAAUCAUCUCCUUUCCAGCUUCAGUUGCUGCAACAUACUCAGCUUCCGUAGUAGACAAAGUAACAAUCUUCUGUAGAUUUGAAGUCCAUGAUAUAGCUGUACCACCUAGAGUAAAAACAAACUCAGUAGUACUCUUUCUACUAUCAAUAUCACCAGCAAAAUCAGCAUCUACAUAACCUUGCAGUUUCAAACUUGCACCUGUGAAGCAAAGACAUGUAUCUAAUGAACCCUUCAGAUAUCUUAAAAUCCACUUGACUGCCUCCCAAUGUUGCUUUCCAGGCCUACUCAUGAAUCUGCUCACAACUCUCACUGCAUGUGCAAUGUCUGGCCUUGUACACACCAUAGCAUACAUCAAGCUGCCAAUAGCUGAGGCAUAGGGCACCUUGCUCAUAUGGUCCCUUUCUUCUUCUGUCUUUGGUGACUGUUCUUUACUUAGUUUGAAAUGACUACCCAAGGGUGUGCUCACUGGUUUAGCUUCAUUCAUGUUGAACCUGUUGAGAACUUUCUUCACAUACUCUGACUGUGAAAGCUUCAAUGUACCAUUAGCCUUGUCUCUAAUGAUUCUCAUACCAAGGAUUUGCUUUGCAACUCCCAAAUCCUUCAUUGCAAACUGUUUGGACAAUUGCUUUUUCAGAUUAUUGAUCUUCUCAAUGUCAGACCCUACAAUAAGCAUAUCAUCCACAUACAACAGUAAUAUGAUGUAAGAGUUGUCAAAGGACUUAACAUAGCAACAAUGAUCAGCUUCACAUCUCUUGAACCCAAUUCUAUGCAUAAAAUUGUCAAACUUCUUGUACCACUGUCUAGGAGCUUGUUUAAGGCCAUACAAGCUCUUUCUCAGUUUGCAAACUAGAUUCUCUUGUCCCUGAACAAUGAACCCUUCUGGUUGAAUCAUGUAAAGGUCUUCCUCCAAGUCACCAUGAAGGAAUGCUGUCUUCACAUCUAACUGCUCAAGAUGUAAGUUUUCUACAGCCACCAUUCCAAGUACAAGUCUAAUUGUUGACAUCUUCACAACUGGAGAAAAUAUCUCUGUGUAGUCAAUGCCCUCCUUCUGCUGGAACCCUUUAACAACUAAUCUGGUCUUGUAACGUUUGCUGCCAUCAUGCUCAUUUUUAUUCUGNNNNNNNNNNNNNNNNNNNNNNNNNNNNNNNNNNNNNNNNNNNNNNNNNNNNNNNNNNNNNNNNNNNNNNNNNNNNNNNNNNNNNNNNNNNNNNNNNNNNGACGAGCCAAUACCCUAGCUCCCUUUGUAACCUUCCAAGUACCACCAACAAAUAGUAUUGCAUGUCCUUCAUCAUCAAGUUGUCCAACAGAAAUUAGAUUCCUCCUCAAGUCAGGAAUAUGUCGAACCUUCUCCAGUAACCAAACAGACCCAUUGGGCAACGAUAUCCGGACAUCUCCCAGACCCACAACAUCCAAGGCUGAACCAUCAGCCAAAUAUACCUUACCAAAAUCACCUGCAACAUAAUUCUGUAUGAUUUCUCGGUGUGGAGUGGUAUGAAACGAAGCUCCUGAAUCCAAAACCCAAUCAUCAAGUGGACUGUCUACUGCAAGAAGUAAUGCAUCAUGUACCUCUUCUGUUACAGCAUUAGCAGAAUCAUCUUCAUUCUUCUUCUUAGGGCUUUUGCAUUGCCUUUUAAAGUGACCUGUUUUCCCACAAUUCCAGCAUUGUACUUGUUGGCCUGAUCUAGAUUUGCUUCUGUUCCGAUUAGAAUUUCUGGAAUUUGAUCUACCCUGAUUUGAAUUUCUAUUAUUACCUCUGCCUCUUGUCUCAAGGUUUAGGGCAGAACCAGAUCCUGAGGUUUCACCUGCAUCUCUUCGGCGAAUCUCCUCAGCCAGAAUUAAAUCUCGUAUAUCAUUGUACUUGAGUUUUUCCUUUCCCGUAGAAUUGCUUACUGCCAUCCUCAUUGCCUCCCAACUGUUUAGCAAAGAAGCCAAGACGAUCAGAGCACGAAUCUCAUCAUCAAAAUCAAUUUCUACAGGCGACAAUUGAUUUGUGAUUGUAUUAAAUUCAUUCAGAUGUUGUGCUACUGAUGCAUUCUCUAUCAUCUUCAAAUUGAACAAUUUCUUCAUCAGAUGCACCUUAUUGUUUGCGGAUGGCUUUUCAUACAUACCGGACAAAGCCUUCAUUAGAUCUGCUGUGGUCUUCUCCUUUACAACAUUGUGUGCAACAGACCUAGACAGAGUUAACCUAAUAACUCCUAGAACCUGUCUGUCAAGAAGCGCCCAUUCCUCAGCCUUCAUACUCUCAGGUUUUGUCCCCAAAAGAGGCAGAUGCAAUUUCCUCCCAUAGAGAUAAUCUUCAAUCUGCAUCCUCCAAUACGCAAAGUCUGUGCCAUCAAACUUUUCUAUUCCAGACGUCUUUCCUGCUUCCUCUGCCAUUGCUCCCACUCAAACCUAACCUUAGGCUCUGAUACCAGUUGUAGGGAAUUAAACCGAAUUCCCAACCCGUGAGAAACAAAAAAUUAGAGAAAAACACACGCCAAAGAAAAACAAUCACACGCACAAGACAGUAUUUACGUGGUUCGGCAAUUUUCCUAUGUCCACGGAGUUGUAGGGAUAUCACUAUUAUCAGGGAAGAAUACAGAGUACAACUUAGCGGCUACAAUAUUCUCUAUAUAUAUAUAGCACGGCAACCCUACCAUACUAAAAAAUCCUAAUUACAAAAGGUGGUUCCACAAUGGGCUAAACGGGCCCAACAGGCCUCAAUAAAUCUCCCAUUAAAAAAGCCAUGCAAUAUUAUUCGGGUCGGGUCAUCAAACCGGAUCAAACAAAACUAGGCUUCACAAAGCCCAACAUUCCCCACCUUUGACCCCUUUGGAGCUGCUUUUCAUAAAUGAAUUCUCACACUUUUCCUCCCACAAAAAAUAUAUAAAUAAUACGGUACAUCUCAAACCAACAAGCUGGAUCACAAAAGAACAAAAAGUGUUAGAAGUAAGAGAAAGAAAAGGGAAAAUAGACUAAAAAUCUCUUAUUGAAUGGUACACUGAGCAUAGGUACAAUCAAACACAAAGCCUUGAUGAACAGGUGAAUCCAUCAAUGGUGAAUCAGAAAUAAACAUAAAGAAAAUCCAUAAGUGGAUACAUUGAAAGGGAGAGUAGACCAAAAGAAGAGGGGAGCAUAGAAAUAAGUCAACAACAACGACAGUAAGCAACAGCAACACCUCCGCGGGGUGGACGACGAGUGCAAACAACCAUGAGUGCAAGAGCCAAGACAACCACCAAGAAAAUCCCUGUUAGAUCUAUGCCACCUUCAUCACCGUUCAUGCAACACAACUUCCCCAUCCCCAAACAACGCUCUCUGUCUCAAGUUGCCGACACUUCUUGUUUCCUAAGCUGCUUUGCAAAUGAUGGGAGAUGGAAUGAAAUAUAUUAAGGGAGGUGGAGAUGGCACCAUAGUUUUAUAGGAGGUCCGUUGACUUAAACGUCUUUUUUUUAUUCCAGAGUCUUUAAAUAUUUAAAUUUUCCAUCCGAGGUGAAG
rnacentral:lncRNA from 1 species